UCGUAUUGACAGUCCAAGAUUAUUUAGCAUGAACAAGAAACAGUAAGAUUGCCUUGUUAAUAAUUGGACAUGCUAUUUCCGUUAAAUAUCAUACUCAAUUUAAGGCUCAUGUCUUCUAGUCAUUGCCAUACAGCUUGAUCGGUUAAAUUUUCUUAAUCCUCUGUGGACCAAUUCAGUUAAAUGAGUCCAUCUUAAAUUAAUCAAUAUAGGUAUUCAAGUUGAUCUGCUCGGCUGCCUCCUGCCUAUUUGCAAGCCUUGGAACAGCUGAAGUCAGGUCAGAGCAAGGUGUCAUCGGACGGGAACAACAUUAUUAAUUAUAUGUUUGAUGAUAAGUAGAAAUAAAACGUCAUCUUAAAACAAACAAACAAAACAAGAGGAGAAAUAAAACAUGAGUAAGCUAAGCAUAAAACACAUCAGCUCCUAAGAAAACAAACAACUAAAGUUUGGCACUGCCUACCUGUCAGUUUCUUUUGAUUUACAUCUGAACAUGUGAUGGCAUCUCCGUCCGCUAACAAACAUUUUGGUUUCUCAAAAUAUAUCCCUCAAGUCUAUAGAAAAAACACUUGUACAUUAACUUAUUCUUCAAAGUGAAAAACAAUGAGCCUGCCAGAGCUAGUCAUCAAAAUUCCACAAAGCUUCCCACUCCAUACAAACCUCUAGCCAGCCAUGUCAUAUGAUGUGAAGCAAAAUACUCUCUUUCAAAAAAAAAAGAAGAUAAACAACUCUCUUUGCAAGUUCAUGAUAUUCUUUUU
rnacentral:lncRNA from 1 species